rnacentral:rRNA from 1 species
UACGUAGGGUGCAAGCGUUGUCCGGAAUUAUUGGGCGUAAAGAGCUCGUAGGCUGUUUGUCGCGUCUGCUGUGAAAACCCAGGGCUUAACCCUGGGCCUGCAGUGGGUACGGGCAAACUAGAGUGCGGUAGGGGAGAUCGGAAUUCCUGGUGUAGCGGUGAAAUGCGCAGAUAUCAGGAGGAACACCGGUGGCGAAGGCGGAUCUCUGGGCCGUAACUGACGCUGAGGAGCGAAAGCAUGGGUAGCGAACAGG